CCGGGCUGGACGGCGCCGGGGGCCGGUGGGGCGGGGACCCGCACCCGGGGUCCCCCUGCGCGGGCUCCCUCAGAAAAUGGAGAUUAUAAAAGUAUCCACACCUCAUGGGGUUGUAUGAAGAUUAAGUGGGAGAAUACACAUAAGCACCUAGCCCACUCCUUGAAACCAGAUAAGAUGCUGUUCAUGGAUAAAGUCACCACUAUGUAAAAGCACUGUGCCCUUCUUUGGAAGGAGGACCUGAGUGACCAAGCAGUCUGUCACUAAGCAAGAUCAAACUGCCAGCAUUCCGGAUGACAGGAAGUUCGUGGUGACCUUGUCAAAUCAGAGAAAUGAUCAGUUGGAAACCUGACUUCCAGAGGAAAGAAGUGGGGAAAGGAAACACACAAGGACAAAAAACACUGAAUAGACUCAGGACAAACUGCCCUUUUUUUUUUUUUUUUUUUUUGCUUUGCUCUCAUAUUUAAAAGAAGUUGGAACUGGCCUAACAUAUUAAGCAAAAAUAACAGUUUGGAGAAGGAUACCUUGUUCUUGUCAGUACCCUGCAACCUAAAUCCUAUGAAAAAAUAGAUAAAAGUAUCCUGAACAGAUGAAGCUGACAAUUUUCCAUAUAAUACAUUUGGAUAAGUGAAGAUAUUCUCUUAAAAAUUAAAUUCAGGGCAGCCCUGGUGGCUCAGUAGUUUAGUACCGCCUUCAGCCCAGGGCAUGAUACUGGACACCCAGAAUCAAGUCCCAUGUCUGGCUCCCUGCGUGGAGCCUGCUUCUCCCUCUGCCUGUGUCUCUACCUCUCUCUCAUUCUGUGUCUCU